UCACGUCUUUGCUAUGUAGAGUACAACUACUUCUCAUUCAACAUAAAUGAAAGUUUCUUCUUUUAUUAUAAUAAGAACAUUUAAAAGAUCUUUCGACAAUCGAUUUCAAUGCUUAUACAAUAAUUCAUUCAUCCUUUAAUGCUCACGAACAAAAUUUCCCAGAAACCAUCAAGAACAAUCUGAACCACUAUCUUCAAGUUGAAGAAACCCCUUCAUCCUUAAAGAAGCAACCACCUAGAAUACUCACCAAUCCAGAGUACCGAAAAUAUUCUUAUUUUUACCCCUUAUAAGAUGCAUCAAAUUAAACCCCUAAUCACUCACCUAUGGAACAAUCAUUCCAUACAAAUCAUACUUCACCUUUUAUGUUUUUCUCUCAAAGACUCACUCACACAUGAAGAUGGAUCAAACAUAGUGUUUAAUCUUGAUUGUAUUCUGGAACGAAUGAAGGAAUGAACAAACGAAUUAAUUAAUUAAUGUUUCAACCUUAGAACGAAGAAACUCCUCAGUAUUUAAGAGGCACGGUUCAAGUUCGAAAUGACAAUGUUAUGUAACAUAAAUAACUUAUUUGUAACUGUCAAAUUAAGCCUAUAUGUUGUAUGAAUUGAU
rnacentral:lncRNA from 1 species